GCACCCGUAGCUCAGCUGGAUAGAGCGUUGCCCU
rnacentral:tRNA from 1 species